rnacentral:rRNA from 1 species
UGGGGAAUUUUUGACAAUGGGGGAAACCCUGAUCCAGCCAUCCCGCGUGUGCGAUGAAGGCCUUCGGGUUGUAAAGCACUUUUGGCAGGAAAGAAACGUCAUGGGUUAAUACCCCGUGAAACUGACGGUACCUGCAGAAUAAGCACCGGCUAACUACGUGCCAGCAGCCGCGGUAAUACGUAGGGUGCAAGCGUUAAUCGGAAUUACUGGGCGUAAAGCGUGCGCAGGCGGUUCGGAAAGAAAGAUGUGAAAUCCCAGAGCUCAACUUUGGAACUGCAUUUUUAACUACCGGGCUAGAGUGUGUCAGAGGGAGGUGAAAUUCCGCGUGUAGCAGUGAAAUGCGUAGAUAUGCGGAGGAACCCCGAUGGCGAAGGCAGCCUCCUGGGAUAACACUGACGCUAAUGCACGAAAGCGUGGGGAGCAAACAGG